UAGCUUAGUGGCAUAAGCACCUGCCUUGCAAGCAGGCGGUCCUAAGUUCGAUCCCCAG
rnacentral:tRNA from 1 species